rnacentral:rRNA from 1 species
UUUAUGGAGAGUUUGAUCCUGGCUCAGGAUGAACGCUGGCGGCGUGCCUAAUACAUGCAAGUCGAGCGAACAGAUAAGGAGCUUGCUCCUUUGACGUUAGCGGCGGACGGGUGAGUAACACGUGGGUAACCUACCUAUAAGACUGGAAUAACUCCGGGAAACCGGGGCUAAUGCCGGAUAACAUGUUGAACCGCAUGGUUCUACAGUGAAAGACGGUUUUGCUGUCACUUAUAGAUGGACCCGCGCCGUAUUAGCUAGUUGGUGGGGUAACGGCCUACCAAGGCGACGAUACGUAGCCGACCUGAGAGGGUGAUCGGCCACACUGGAACUGAGACACGGUCCAGACUCCUACGGGAGGCAGCAGUAGGGAAUCUUCCGCAAUGGGCGAAAGCCUGACGGAGCAACGCCGCGUGAGUGAUGAAGGUCUUCGGAUCGUAAAGCUCUGUUGUUAGGGAAGAACAAAUGUGUAAGUAACU